CCGCUGAAUUUAAGCAUAUCAGUAAGCGGAGGAAAAGAAACUAACAAGGAUUCCCUUAGUAGCGGCGAGCGAACAGGGAAAAGCCCAUAACCGAAUCCCUUGGAGUGUUGUGCCAAUGGGAAAUGUGGUGUUGGGGUGGUUUCUUACUGUACAUUGAAUAAUUCUAAGUCCACGUGAUUGUGGCGCUCUGCCCAGAGAGGGUGUAAGGCCCGUAAGAAUUGUUCAUGUGCGGUGCGAGGCUACUCAAGAGUCGGAUUGUUUGGGAAUGCAGUCCUAAGCGGGUGGUAAACUCCAUCCAAGGCUAAAUAUAACAUGAGACCGAUAGCAAACAAGUACCGUGAGGGAAAGUUGAAAAGGACUUUGAAGAGAGAGUUCAAUAGUGCGUGAAACCGCUUAGAGGUAAACGGGUAGAACUGAAGUUGUACUCAGUGGUCUACACUUUCUGUCUAAUAUGUUCACAGUGGAGUUGAGAUGCUUUAAGGCACCGCUUGCUGUUGAAGAAUGUGACAGUUAGUUGGAUUCCCUGUGGUACUAGUCACAUCCGACGAUACAUUAUUGUCUGUCCAAUUUCAUGAGGAAGGUAAGGUUUCUUAGCUCAAAAGGCGGAUUCCUGUUAUAGACCAUGAAUUGUGAGUUGACGUAUUGUCGUGCAUGGCGAUGCAAGCUUCUUCUAGGAGCGCACAAGUUGAGUUGCUUUUAUGCCAUUUUGUUGAGACUCUUCUAGAGUCUUAGUGAGAUGUGUGUAAUUGUUCUCUUGAUCUCUGUGUAUUGCAUCAACAGAUUGUGACUUGAUGUAGGUCAUCUACCUGACCCGUCUUGAAACACGGACCAUGGAGUUUAAUUUGUGCGCGAGUCAUUGGGUCAUACUAAACCUAAAGGCGCAGUGAAAGUAAAGAUCUGUCUUUGUGCAGAUUGAGGUGGGAUUUGUAGAAAACACUUUUAGUGUCUAUACAACGCACCACCGGGUUAUGGCAUGUCUUUUAGACGCUGUAAACCAAGAGCGUACAAAUUGAGACCCGAAAGAUGGUGAACUAUGCUUGCAUAGGUUGAAGCCAGAGGAAACUCUGGUGGAGGACCGAAGCGCUUCUGACGUGCAAAUCGAUCGUCAAAUGUGAGUAUAGGGGCGAAAGACUAAUCGAACUAUCUAGUAGCUGGUUCCCUCCGAAGUUUCCCUCAGGAUAGCUGGCACUCGGGAACAAAACAGUUUUAUCCGGUAAAGCGAAUGAUUAGAAGUAUUGGGGACGAAAUGUCCUCAACUUAUUCUCAAACUUUAAAUGGGUGAGAUGAUGGUCUCUCUUAAAUGGAGUCUUGUCAUCGAAUGUGAGUGGCUAGUGGGCCAUUUUUGGUAAGCAGAACUGGCGAUGCGGGAUGAACCGAAAGUUUCGGUUAAGGUGCCUAAGAGAACGCUCAUGAGAAACCACAAAAGGUGUUGGUUCAUAUAGACAGCAGGACGGUGGUCAUGGAAGUUGAAAUCCGCUAAGGAGUGUGUAACAACUCACCUGCCGAAUGAACCAGCCCUGAAAAUGGAUGGCGCUGGAGCGUUCCACCUAUACCGAACUGGUAUUGCAAGUUGAAAUGCAUGGAUGUAAUACCAUGUAGGAGGGCGAAAUGAUAAGCAUUGAAGCUACGGUCGUGAGACUGGGUGGAGCUGUCAUUUGUGCAGAUCAUGGUGGUAGUAGCAAGUAUUCAAGUGAGAACCUUGAAGACUGAAGUG
rnacentral:rRNA from 1 species